UACGGGGGGAGCAAGCGUUGUUCGGAUUUACUGGGCGUAAAGGGCGCGUAGGCGGCGCAACAAGUCAGUUGUGAAAUCUCUGGGCUUAACCCAGAGCGGUCAACUGAUACUGUCGUGCUAGAGUGCGGAAGGGGCAACUGGAAUUCUCGGUGUAGCGGUGAAAUGCGUAGAUAUCGAGAGGAACACCUGCGGCGAAGGCGGGUUGCUGGGCCGACACUGACGCUGAGGCGCGAAAGCUAGGGGAGCGAACGGG
rnacentral:rRNA from 2 species